rnacentral:rRNA from 1 species
GUUGAACGCUGGCGGCGUGCCUAAUACAUGCAAGUCGAGCGAAUGGAUUAAGAGCUUGCUCUUAUGAAGUUAGCGGCGGACGGGUGAGUAACACGUGGGUAACCUGCCCAUAAGACUGGGAUAACUCCGGGAAACCGGGGCUAAUACCGGAUAACAUUUUGAACCGCAUGGUUCGAAAUUGAACGGCGGCUUCGACUGUCACUUAUGGAUGGACCCGCGUCGCAUUAGGUAGUUGGGGAGGUAAAGGCUCACCAAGGCAACGAUGCGUAGCCGACCUGAGAGGGUGAUCGGCCACACCGGGACUGAGAAACGGCCCAGACUCCUACGGGAGGCAGCAGUAGGGAAUCUUCCGCAAUGGACGAAAGUCUGACGGAGCAACGCCGCGUGAGUGAUGAAGGCUUUCGGGUCGUAAAACUCUGUUGUUAGGGAAGAACAAGUGCUAGUUGAAUAAGCUGGCACCUUGACGGUACCUAACCAGAAAGCCACGGCUAACUACGUGCCAGCCGCCGCGGUAA